rnacentral:rRNA from 1 species
CGGGCAUGGUCCUAGGUAUAGGCACUAUACGGUGAAACUGCGAAUGGCUCAUUAAAUCAGUUAUCGUUUAUUUGAUAGUACCUUACUACAUGGAUAACCGUGGUAAUUCUAGAGCUAAUACAUGCUAAAAACCUCGACUUCGGAAGGGGUGUAUUUAUUAGAUAAAAAACCAAUGCCCUUCGGGGCUCCUUGGUGAAUCAUAAUAACUUAACGAAUCGCAUGGCCUUGCGCCGGCGAUGGUUCAUUCAAAUUUCUGCCCUAUCAACUUUCGAUGGUAGGAUAGUGGCCUACCAUGGUAUCAACGGGUAACGGGGAAUUAGGGUUCGACUCCGGAGAGGGAGCCUGAGAAACGGCUACCACAUCCAAGGAAGGCAGCAGGCGCGCAAAUUACCCAAUCCCGACACGGGGAGGUAGUGACAAUAAAUACUGAUACAGGGCUCUUUUGGGUCUUGUAAUUGGAAUGAGUACAAUUUAAAUCCCUUAACGAGGAACAAUUGGAGGGCAAGUCUGGUGCCAGCAGCCGCGGUAAUUCCAGCUCCAAUAGCGUAUAUUAAAGUUGUUGCAGUUAAAAAGCUCGUAGUUGAACCUUGGGCCUGGCUGGCCGGUCCGCCUCACCGCGUGUACUGGUCCGGCCGGGCCUUUCCUUCUGGGGAACCUCAUGCCCUUCACUGGGCGUGUUGGGGAACCAGGACUUUUACUUUGAAAAAAUUAGAGUGUUCAAAGCAGGCCUUUGCUCGAAUACAUUAGCAUGGAAUAAUAGAAUAGGACGUGUGGUUCUAUUUUGUUGGUUUCUAGGACCGCCGUAAUGAUUAAUAGGGAUAGUCGGGGGCAUCAGUAUUCAAUCGUCAGAGGUGAAAUUCUUGGAUUGAUUGAAGACUAACUACUGCGAAAGCAUUUGCCAAGGAUGUUUUCAUUAAUCAGUGAACGAAAGUUAGGGGAUCGAAGACGAUCAGAUACCGUCGUAGUCUUAACCAUAAACUAUGCCGACUAGGGAUCGGACGGUGUUAGUAUUUUGACCCGUUCGGCACCUUACGAGAAAUCAAAGUUUUUGGGUCUGGGGGGAGUAGGGCACCG